rnacentral:lncRNA from 1 species
AGCUAGAACCUUCUCCAAAAAUUCAAAAGAAUUCUAAAGAAGAUCAAGGAGAUCAUGAAAGUGUAAAUUCAUCAUCAGCUUCCACAGUUUCAUCAGGAAGAGAUCAAGAAAAGUUAUUACCUGCAUCAAAUGGUAAGCCUCAUGAUCAUGAAGAAAUAAUUAUGUAAAGACUCGCUUUAUUACUAUAGUAAGCCUGAUUCUGAGGAAAUAAUGAAGAAAUUUGAGUGCCAAUAUUGUUUCAAACAAUUUGCUAAUUCUCAAGCUUUGGGAGGGCAUCAAAAUGCUCACAAAAAAGAAAGAAUGAGGAAAAAGAGGCUACAACUUCAAGCAAGAAAAGCCAGCUUAAGUUGCUAUCUUCAACCCUUUCAAAACAACAAUAAUAAUAUUAGUUAUCAGUUUUAUGAUCCUAAUUCUUUCUUUGGGAAUUCUGAUCAGUUUACAGUUUAUGAUGAAUCCCAAAUUAGUUUCAGCCCUUAUGAUCAAGAAUCCCAAGUCUUGGUAGGAAAAUGGCCAUUUCAGCAAGAUUCUUGUAUGUUUACUCUUACACAUGGAGAGAAAUCUAGAGAAAAAUACUCUAGGCCUGCAGCAGUGAUGAAGCCAGAAACUUUGCCUAAUUCAGCUUCUAAACAAAAGUGUAAUUCUUUGGAUCUUCAAUUGGGAUUAAGUUUGCAUUGAGUAUUGCAAAGAGAUUAAUAUAUAUUUG